AUUGAACGCUGGCGGCAGGCUUAACACAUGCAAGUCGAGCGGAGAUGAGGUGCUUGCACCUUAUCUUAGCGGCGGACGGGUGAGUAAUGCUUAGGAAUCUGCUUAUUAGUGGGGGACAACAUUCCGAAAGGUAUGCUAAUACCGCAUAAGUCCUACGGGAGAAAGCAGGGGAUCUUCGGACCUUGCGCUAAUAGAUGAGCCUAAGUCGGAUUAGCGAGUUGGUGGGGUAAAGGCCUACCAAGGCGACGAUCUGUAGUGGGUUUGCGAUGAUGAUCCGCCACACUGGGACUGAGACACGGCCCAGACUCCUACGGGAGGCAGCAGUGGGGAAUAUUUGACAAUGGGGGAAACCCUGAUCCAGCCAUGCCGCGUGUGUGAAGAAGGCCUUAUGGUUGUAAAGCACUUUAAGCGAGGAGGAGGCUACUGAGACUAAUACUCUUGGAUAGUGGACGUUACUCGCAGAAUAAGCACCGGCUAACUCUGUGCCAGCCGCCGCAGUAA
rnacentral:rRNA from 1 species